CAUUACUGAGUACUACACUCUCUACCCUUUGUGAACUAUUAUACCUGUUGCUUCGGCGGCGCCCGCAAGGGUGCCCGCCGGUCUCAUCAGAAUCUCUGUUUUCGAACCCGACGAUACUUCUGAGUGUUCUUAGCGAACUGUCAAAACUUUUAACAACGGAUCUCUUGGCUCCAGCAUCGAUGAAGAACGCAGCGAAACGCGAUAUGUAAUGUGAAUUGCAGAAUUCAGUGAAUCAUCGAAUCUUUGAACGCACAUGGCGCCUUCCAGUAUCCUGGGAGGCAUGCCUGUCCGAGCGUCGUUUCAACCCUCGAGCCCCUGUGGCCCGGCGUUGGGGAUCUGCCACGGCAGGCCCCUAAAACCAGUGGCGGACCCGAAGGCCCUCUCCUUUGCGCAGUAGCAUCAGCCUCGCAUUGGGAUCCCUCGGCGUCCUGCCUCUAAACCCCCCACAAGUCCGCUCCGGCGGCACCAAGGUUGACCUCGGAUCAGGUAGGAAUACCCGCU
rnacentral:rRNA from 1 species